CGACAUUGAUGUGGAUGGUGACUUGGAUCCAUGUCCUUAUGAGAACGCUGUUGAUGGCAAAAAUCAGAACUCGUGAUCAGAAUGACUCAGUAGUGCAUCUUCAGGCUUUGGGACUGUAUACUUCAGAUGACCGUACAGGAACCAAGCCCUUAUUUUUUAAUGAGCGCCCCCUCUGGGUGAAGCCAGUUAACCAAAGGCUUUGUGUACAAAGGCAAAGAACAUGGUGGGGGAGGAAUCUGGCAUAUUUGCAUUUUCAUGGGAGAAUGUGUCACGGAGAGAAGAGUCACAAACUACUACACUGUACAAACCAUACCGUAACAGAGGGCAGAAAAAGACACCACCAGGGAGCCCAAAAAUAGGUUAUUACUGAGUCUCCUGCCAAGUGAUCAGCUGUUAUCCAUUGAAAAAACCCAGCACCGUCAGAGAUGGAUAGAUCUAAGGAUUGGCAUCUCUACUAUUUUGAAGAUUACUAGGUCCAGUAAGAAAGUGACCAAGGAUGAAGGUUUACACCAUGAAUUCGGCAUAGGGAAAAUUUAUGUAUAACAACAUAAUACACAAUAAGUCCAGUUUCUUUAAAUAACCGAUUUAUUUGAGCGGGUCAACAUCUUUCAAAUAAAAUUCCAAAAAUAUACCUCUGGAUUCGAAAGACUCACCUUUGAAAUGUCACAUUUUGGGAAAAUAAGGCUGUAGAAACGCAAUAAAGACUGAGCACUCCAACCUCUUUGUGAUCAUACAGCCACAGAAAACCUGCCAUGUGUUCUGUACAACAAACUAAAUAAAUUAUCAAAAAAUUUAAAAUCUAAAUGUAAAACAUUGGUCUAUGUGGUAAGAAAAUCAGUCCACACAAUAUUCCUGAGUGUUUACGCAAACCAGCCACCUGAACCCAGACAACAGAUGUACAAGAGGUAUAAGGGGGAAGGGGUGUUAAGUAUGAAUUUUUGUGUGUCUACUGUCAAGUUAAAAGAAAAAUUUGCUAGACCUAAGCAAUUAAUCCUUUACCUAAACAGGUUGCCCGACCUCCAUCGUAAUUUUAGUUAUGGUCUGAAAGUGUUCAGCCUAAUUAAAAAAGGGCACUCACCUAUUUAUUGGUGCUCCAUGAAGCACUAAUAGUCCUGUCCCUUCUCCUUCUGGUCCACAGGGGACUAGAUGUAGGACAUCCUAUCCAUUGUCAGGUGCACUUCAGCAGCCAUUCACUGGUGUCAGCAAGGACGUGUCUCCAAGCGGCAUGUGAUUUCUGAGACCAGUGAAUGGCUGCAGAAGUAAAUGUGACGAUGAAUAAGACUUCGCACUUCAGGUCUACAGUAGACCAGAAAUGGUGAGGACUAGACCUUCAGUGCUGGAAUGGUGCACCGGUGAAUAGGUGAGCGUCUUUCUUUCACUAGGCUGAGCACUUCUAGGGGCCAUAACCCCCACCGAUGAGUUCCUCAUAUGGAAAUCCACGAUGAUUGGUGAGUGUGCGUUA